rnacentral:lncRNA from 1 species
UGGCUGUGGCUGUGGUGUAGGCCAGUGGCUACAGCUUCGAUUCGACCCUUGGCCUGGGAACCUCCAUAUGACACUGGAGCCGCCCAAGAAAUGGCAAAAAGACAAAAAAAAUUUACUUGACUGAAGUAGAGUUGAUUUACGAUGUUGUGUUAGUUUCAGGCGUACAGCAAAGUGACUCGUGUAUUUGUGUGUGUGUGUGUGUGUGUACACGUAUAUCUGAUGUGUAUGUAUAUACACACACAUCCUUUUUCAUACUCCUUUCCAGGGUGGUUUGUCACAGGAUGCUGAAUGUAGUUCGCUGUAGGGCAGGAGCCUGUUGUUUGUCCAUCCUGCAUACGUCUGCCUCUGCGAGACCCAAGCUCACUCCCAGUCCUUCCCUGCCCCACCCGCCUCCCCUUCGGCAGCCACAAGUCUGUUCCCUCUGUCCCAGAGUCUGCUUCUGCCUCGUAGACACGUUCGUUUGUGUUGAGUGUUUGUGAAGUUUCGUUAGAGUUGCUUUACAUGUGUGAUCAUGUCCGCUCUGCAACAACGUGAUUCAGGGACCCCUGUACCCACAGCCUUUCUCUCCCAGAUUCUCUUCCCACACAGAGGAUCCCAGAAUAUCGGGUAGAGGUCUCUGGGCUGCACGGCAGGUCCCCACUGGCCAGGACAACUCAGCGUACAGAUGCCAGUCCCAAACCCCAGGCUAUCUCUCCUCCCCCACAACUGUCCGCUUUGGUAACCGUACGCUUGUUUUCGAAGUCUGCCUGUCUGUUUCUGUUCUGCAGAUCAGUUUGUGCCACAUUUGAGACGCCACGUAUAAAUGAUAUCAUGUGACAUUUGUCUUCCACUGUCUGACUGACCUCACUUAGCAGGAGCAUCUCUAGGUCCGUCCCUGUUGCUGCAAACGGCAUCAUUUCACUCUUUUUACGGCUAACACUCCAUCGUGUAUAUGGACUACGUCUUCUUGAUCCAGUCCUCUGUUGAUGGACGUUUGGGGUGCUUCCAUGUCUCAGCUGUUGUGCAUAGAGCUGCAGUGAAUACUAGGGCGCACGUAUCUUUGUGAAUUACUGGUUCCUCCAGAGAGAGGCCCAGGCGUGGGAUUGCUGGUGGCAGUUCUGGUUUUAGUUUUUGCGUCCCCUCCGUACUGUUCCCCACAGUGGCAGCACCAGGUGACCUUCCCACCAGCAGUGUAGGUAGGUGGUUUUCUGAUCCCUGGCCUGGAGGACGAGAGUCCAGAGGGAAAGAGAAACUUUCCAUCCCCUCUUCCCUUCCGUGCAGUUCACGGGAUCCACAAACAACGCCUCCGGGAGAGGAACUGUUUUUAUCCUCAACACACUGAGUUGGAACCGCUAUUAAGAAAACUGCACAAGAACCCAGCUGGGAAGUGAAAGAGCCAAAACGCACUCCCACGCCGCGUUACUCCACAGCCUGCUCACUGCCACGUGUUACUACCCCACGGCUACGGGCGAGGGCUCGCUGCCUGGGGGGCACGGCAGCCAGCACCGCAGGCCCAGCUUUUGAGGAAAGAGGAGGCUUUGUUGCCAGGCCCAUGGCCAGGAAACAGGAGGCAGGGCUUCCAUCUGUCUUUCCCGUCCAGGGUUCAGGGUAAAAUUUAAGGGGUUCAGGGGACUUCAGACGUGGAAGCCAAUGGGCUCGUCUCAGUCUGUAGAAGCUGCUGGACGCCAGACUUUCCUCAUUGAAGGACGUCUCCCUUCCUCAAGGGCCCUGCCUGUAACACUUGCAUCCUUUGGGUCGCAGACUGAAGAGUCUUGGUUCCAGGGUCCCCUGAGAACGUGGGUUCCCAGGCUGGGGGUCCAAUCAGAGCUACAGCUGCUGGCCUCCACCACAGCUCACAGCUACGCCAGAUCCGAGCCUUGUCUGUGACCUAAACCACAGCUCACAGCAAUGCUGGAUCCUUCACCCACCAGAGGCCAGGGAUCAAACUUGCAUCCUCAUGGAUCCUCGUCGGCUUCAUUACCACAAGGGGAACUCUCUCGGGUCUCAUUUUAAAACCCAUUCCUGUUGAUGGAUGAGGUCUACGUAUAUCCUCAGGUGUCUUGAGGGACUUGUGAUCCCCCCGCUUCCCCCCCCACCACACACACACACAGCCCUUCCACACGGAUGGCCGGUUGGGGCUGGAGAAACACAGUUCCCUCCAUCUCUUCAGCACCCCCCACCAGGGGGUGAGAAGCAGCCCUGAGUGUGCAAGGACCUCCCCACCCCUCCGUGUUCGUCUCUCUCCCUUCAUCCUCUCCAUCCCCUGCGUCCAGGACACCUCCGAGCCCUCUCCCUGCACUGUCCCCGCUGAUGAGCAGCAAAACCCCUGGCUGACCACGCUGCCUCCACACCAGCCCUGGACGACUUUCUCCUUUUUAAAAAUCUUCCGCCAUGUUCACUUGACCCAAGGAACCCUUGUGUGACCACGUCGAAGUUUCAUCGGCAUCCCAAGGACAAGCCCCGCGCUCCAGCCUCCGACUCGCUGUGCGGGGGUCUCGGGUGUGCCUCGCAGUGACAGCGCUUCUCCGUCUGAAAGUUACCUUGAUCACAUACCCUUGACACAUUUCAGGAUUUCUUAUGAUCGACGGUGGCGAGAGAGGUUGCCGGCAGCCAAGCGUCCCAAACACACCUUGAAAUGUUCCCAUAACUAGUCGAGUCUGUUUUCCGAAUUGAUUUUACGCCGUUAAGAUGGAAUCAACUGCAAACAUCCCACCCUGUCCGUUGCUGAGCUACAUCUCACGGCAGGGGCAGGUCUUGUCGUGGUGGGGGUGGGUCCUGUGGCGGGGACGGGUCUUGUCACAGUGGGGAUGGGUCUUUUCAUGGCGGGGACGGAUCUUGUUGUUGUGGGGACGGGUCUUUUCAUGGCGGGGAUGGGUCCUGUCAUGGUGGGGACGGGUCUUCUUGUUGUGGGCAUGGGUCCUGUCACAGUGGGGACGGGUCUUUUCAUGUCGGGGAUGGGUCUUGUUGCGGGGAUGGGUCUGGUCACAGCAGGGAUGUGCCAGGGGUUGCAGAUAAAGGGCACUGGUCAGCUUGUAGAUGUUGUGCGUAUGGAGCUGCUGUAUAUAUACCCUUGCAUUCACAUUUUUCUCAGUGUAAGUCCUUUUUUGUAGAUUGAACAGCUCAGAGUGGGAAAUUUGGGUCAAACGGUAAAAGUGUGUUUAAUUAUAAAAGAGAGGGACCAGAGUUCCCUGGUGGCUCAGCGGGUUAAGGAUCCAGCGUUGUCACUGCAGUGGGUUCGAUCUCUGGCCCUGGAACCUCCACAUGCUGCAGGCACGGCCAAAAGAAAUUUUUUAAUAAAAAAUUUUAAAAAGAGACAGACUGUCUUCCUGGUGGAUGCGCCAUUCCACACCCCUCAGCAGCGGUGGGAGUUGCAGCUGCCCCACAACCCUUGGGAGGGUCAGUGGUGCUCCCGAGGCUCCCAGAGGCCAUGUGAUGUCUGACUGCACCCAGCUUCAGUCCUCCCGGGGCUGGUGAUGCAAACCUUUUCAAGUGCCUCCCCAGACCCUUCCUGGUGAACCGUCUGUGCAAGUCUCCUUUUUCAUUUUCUGAUUUUGAUUUCAGGCUGCACCCAUGGCAUGUGAAAAUUCCCAGGCCAGGGAUCAAACCCUCAUCACAGCAGUGACCUGAGCCUCUGCUGUGACAACAUCAGACCCUUAACCCUCUGUGCCACCAGGGAACUCCUGCAAGUCUCUUUUUUUUUAGAGUAAAAGUGUAUAUAUGUAAGGAGUUCCCAUCGUGGCGCAGUGGUUAACGAAUCUGACGAGGAACCAUGAGGUUUCGAGUUCGAUCCCUGGCCUUGCUCAGUGGGUUCAGGAUCUGGCGUUGGCAUGAGCUGUGGUGUAGGUCGCAGACGCGGCUUGGUUCCCGUGUUGCUGUGACUGUGGUGUAGGCCGGUAGCUACAGCUCCGAUCAGACCCCUAGCCUGGAACCUCCAUGUGCCGCGGGUGUGGCCCUAGAAAAGGCAAAAAGACCACAAAAAAGUGCACAUAUGUAAGGUGUACAGCAUGAGUUGUUAUACACACACAUAGUGAAAUGAUUACCACACUAAUUCACAAACACAGUUGCCCUUGAGAGCCCCUGAAAUCUCCCCUCUGAGGAAAUGUCCAGUAUUCCCCACGCUGUUAUUAACCGCAGUCACCGGGCUGCACGCAAGCUCUCUCGACUCACGCACCCCACAGACCUUCAGCCAUCCUCCCCCCCACAACCGCAGUUCUACCCCCGGCUUCUAUGCAUUUGCCGUUUUCAACUUCCACGGGUGUGAAAUCUUUUUUUCUUUUUCUUUCUGUGCCUGGCUUAUGUAAUGUACCCUGCUGUCCUCCAAGCUCACCUGUGUUUGUUUCAAAUGGAAGGACCCCUUUCCUGUUUAAGGCUGCGUCAUAUUCCAUCGUACCUGGACCCCACCAUUUCUUUAUCAGUUCGUCUGUCUGUGGACACGUAGGCUGUUCGGGUCUUUUGCCUGCUUGCUGACUGGCUCAUUUGUCUUUAUGCAGAGAUGUCUUUGUUCCUCUCCCCUCACUGAUUUUAUGAGUAAGCACAUGGAAGCACAGAGAGGUUAAGUGACUUGCCUGAAUAUGCACAGCUGAUAACCAGCAGAGCCAGAAAACAGGAAUCCACGCCACCUCCUUGGUGGGAAGAACAGCAGAGAGGAGAGAGGCCCUUACUCCUUGUGAGUGUGUGUGUGUGUGUGUGUGUGUGUGUGUGCACUCAGUUCUGACUUUUACAAACAUGCGGCCAUUCCAUGUUCUGAGACACGCUCCAGACACGGAUUGUUCAAGGAUCUCCACAGGGCCUGGCCGGUACCCACCUCGGGGCCUUUGCACCUGCUAUGCCCUCAGCCAGGAAAGGGGAAGGACUUUCUCUUUCCCGUCAUCCCCUUCUCAUGUCAAGUCUCAGCCCCCACAUCACAGCCUCCGAGGGCCAUGUCCAAACUUACCCUCUGGGGUUGGCUCAUUAAGCUGCUGACCGCCCCUCUUUCCAAGGCGGGUUUAAACUCUACGUGCUCAGGCAGCUUGUUCAGGAUGGGUCAUCCUUCAUCCACCACUGGCUCCCGGGAGGGAGGGACCUGGGUGGGCCUGGCCUCACCAGGUGAACCUUCCAAAGCUGAGCCUUGGCUCAGACUGGUCAGCUGCUCCCAGAGAAACACAGAGACAGGGUCCCGCCGGCCUGGACGAGGAAGAAGCAGCUGCGGUUGUGUGCAUCCCUGGAGGAGGACGCAGCCCCCCUCGGACAGGCAGAGAGACGACUCGCCCCCGAGCCCAGCAGCCGCAGGGGAAGGUCUGCCUGCAGCCAGGCGGGGGCGUGUGCGCGCACAUGCGCGUGUGUGCCCUCGGGUAAGGCCCCGGCCUGGAGAACACGGUGACCGACUCAGCGACCCACGCACGGGACCCUGAGCCGGGAAGCCGGCAUACGGUACCCUUUGUGCCGCCUUAAGCGGCUGAGUCGGUGGUGACUUGUGACACAGCAGCAGAAAACCAGCCCGCCUUCCACGGGCCAUUCCACGGACACUGCCUGACCUGCUCACGGCUGCCCCCGAAGCCCCCACGCAGGGCGGAGGCGGGGGUCCAGGAGGUCUGCUCGGCCCCCCUCGCACCCCCAGACCCUCGUGAUGGGGGCUUCCGUUCUCGAGUUAGAGGGAACGCUUUGGGGCCAUCGGUGAGUUAUGGGACCAGCCGGGUGUCACAGACCUGGUCCCCAGCCUGGCUUUGCUCCUUCUGGCUGGUGUCAGAAGCUCUGUGACCCCAAGCGGUUCCUUCAUAAAGUGGGGCCCGUUCAGUGCCUUCCCCGUGGGCUCGUGGAAUUGAAUAACUGGAUCUGUUUCUAAAGCACUUGGCACAGGGUCUGGAAACGCCGCCGACCUGUUACCUGAAGUCACUGCAUCCAGACCUGCCCUCCCACAUGUAUAACAUCUGUGCCAGGGCACACGCAGGCGCUGUUAAAUGUCUCUCUCACAUACACACACACACAGAGUCCCAAACAGACACCCUCCCCCUUCCAAAGCCCAGAUCAUCAGCAUUUGUUCAGUAGGCACGUCAUUGACACUGAGCAGCCUCAAGACGCUGUGCAGGACGCAUAGGGCAGCAAACUACAUCCUUGCAAAAUACAGCUGCGAAAUGACCGAUUCUCAAACGGUAGAGGGAACACUGCUUAGACACAGAAGGCAGCGGUACAUUUGCCAGACAGAUGGGGAGCGUCGGCGGGUCCCUCCCUGCUCUGGAAAGCUUGCUCGCCCGCGCGCGCGCGCGCUGUGCGUGCCAGGCUGCGUUCAAGAGCACCGUUCCCAUCCCCUGGUUGGAAUCUAGCCUGGCUUUCAGCUCGGUGGAAAGGCUGUGGGAUUCUGGAGAGCGGAGGGUCUGUCCUGGCCGCUUGGCCUCGGGUGACAAUUCUUUUUGUUCGAAUCUAAGCAUGGUUGCUCGACAGCCUUGUGCCGGUUUCUGCCGCACAGCAUAGUGACCCACUUGCACACAUGCACACACUCAUUUUUUCACACUGUCUUCCAUCGCAGUCCCUCCCAAGAGACUGGACACGGUUCCCCGUGCUGUACAGCAGGACCUCAUCGCCUAUGCAUUUCCUGUGAAGAUUCUAACGGCUUCUCGCCAUCUGUCCAUAUUCACUGGGGCCCGUCCUGGGUUGAAGGGAGUGAGGCUCUCGGCUUGGGUACAAAUUUUAAGUGUGGGGGUGAGGAGAGUGCAGACAUCUCAGUGAUCAAGAGAGAUAAUUUUUUUUUUUUUGGUCUUUUUAGGGCCACACCUGCAGCAUAGGGAGGUUCCCAGUCUAGGGGAAUCCAGCUUGGAAUCAGAGCUGUAGCCACCAGCCUACCCCAGAGCCACAGCAAUGCCAGAUCCGAACUGCGUCUGCGACCUACACCACAGCUCACAGCAACACCGGAUCCUUAACCCACUGAGCGAGGCCAGGAAUGGAACUCGCAACCUCAUGGUUCCUGGAUGGAUUCUUUUCCAAUGUACCACGAUGGGAACGCCAAGAGAUAAUAUUUUAAUGCAGCGUUUCCUUAAAAUUUCCCAGUUAAAAUGGUGGGAAAAAUCAACGAGGAAGAAAUGCCCACAUGUUAACGGAAGACGGGCUCUCGCAGGGCUGCGAGUAGGGCAAGGUGAGGCGACGAGUCCUGCAAAGCUCAGGGUGGAAAUGUUGAUGUUGCGCUCCUCACGGACUGGAGGCAUUAUCCUUUCUUUUUUAAGCAAACGGCACUGGCACCGGGGCCUUCUCGUGGCUCAGGAGCCUGAGAAUCAGGCAUGAUCCCUGCAGCAGUUCCCUUCGCUGCUGCAGUGUGGCUGCGCGACCUGGCCGGGGACUUUCGCGUGCCUCUGCUGCGCAGUAUUGCCCUGAGUCCUGAGGACUCGGCUUCCCUUACGUGGUGCGCCCAGGUGAACACCUCGGGGGCCCGCCAGCCCCUCCCCCCGCAGCAUCUCUGAUCCUUUCUCUCUGUCCCCACCGUGAAUACCCUCGUUCUUUCCACCACCGCGUCUGGCUGGAGCCGGCACAGCAAACUCCCCGCCACCUGCUGCAUCCUGGUCUGGACACGACCUCCAAGCUGCUGGCACUGAAACUCGGGGUGACUUCCUCCGCAAACCCUCCCCCCAAAGCCCACUCCCAUCAUCCUCUCCCACCGUCUAGAUGUCUCCCCCCUGCCUCCCCCACCCCCAUCCCCACCAUCGCCCAGUUUGGGUUAUAGCAACUGAUGCUGCUAUUUUCUCACCUCUUUUCAGUUCUCUGCGCCAUUUCCCAGGGUGGGGGACCGGUCACACAAGUGUGAUGUCAUUUCAGAUGGUCCGGCUCCAAGGACAAUUAAACUUUACCAUACAAUGUUAUACCCUUGGGAGUUCCCGUGGUGGCUCAGUGGAUUAAGAACCCGACACAGUGUCUGCGAGGAUGCGGGUUCAAUCCCUGGCCUCGCUCAGUAGGUUAAGGACCUGGCACUGCCACAAGCUGUGACUUAGAUAACAGAUGCGGCUCGGAUCCCGCAUUCCUGUGGCUGUGGUGUAGGUGGGCAGCUUCAGCUCCCACUCGACCCCUCGCCUGGGAACCUCCAUGUGCUGCAGGUGCCACUGUAAAAGGAAAAAAAAAAAAA